AGACGUCUACAUUAGAUACCCGCGUAGUCCCAGCCGUAAACUAUGCGCGUUAGGUGUAUCGGUGACCACGAGUUACCGAGGUGCCGAAGGGAAGCCGUGAAGCGAGCCACCUGGGAAGUACGGCCGCAAGGCUGAAACUUAAAGGAAUUGGCGGGGAGCACCACAACAGGUGGAGCCUGCGGUUUAAUUGGACUCAACGCCGGGAAGCUCACCGGAUAAGACAGCGGAAUGAUUGCCGGGCUGAAGACUCUGCAUGACUAGCUG
rnacentral:rRNA from 1 species